CUAACAAUUGCUGAGACAGGAGAGCAGAGGAAGCCUGCAGUGGGGUCAGCAAAGCUGCUGACUUAACUCCAGCAUCCAGACUCCGUAUUUAACUUGAUGAGGAUAAGAACUGUAACUCCGCUAUUGAAGGGCUGAAGCUUCAGCCCAGGGGAACAAUAAAUGCUUACAGAAAACCCCUCCGGUCCAGGCUCCUUGCAUUGCAGUUGUCCUUGGAGAAUCUCAGCAUGAACAGUGAGCAGAGAGAGAAGCUGGCGAGGUUGACAUGAAAGGCGAGCGGUGCUCCAGGGCCUAUUAUCGAUGGCCAGAACUCAUCCUACUUUGAAAGGGUCUUGAGCAGAUUAAGAUGAAACAGACGGGCAUUACAUGGA
rnacentral:lncRNA from 1 species